rnacentral:rRNA from 1 species
CCUACGGGUGGCAGCAGUGGGGAAUAUUGCGCAAUGGGCGAAAGCCUGACGCAGCGACGCCGCGUGAGGGAUGAAGGUCUUCGGAUCGUAAACCUCUGUUAGCAGGGAAGAACGGUCACUGUGUUAAUCAGCAGUGAAUUGACGUUACCUGCAAAGGAAGCAUCGGCUAACUCCGUGCCAGCAGCCGCGGUAAUACGGAGGGUGCGAGCGUUAAUCGGAAUUACUGGGCGUAAAGGGCUCGUAGGCGGUAUGUCAAGUCAAGGGUGAAAUCCCCGGGCUCAACGUGGGAACUGCCGUUGAAACUGGCAAGCUGGAGUGUGUGAGAGGAUAGUGGAAUUCCAGGUGUAGGGGUGAAAUCCGUAGAUAUCGGGAGGAACAUCGGUGGCGAAGGCGACUAUCUGGCACAUAACUGACGCUGAGGAGCGAAAGCGUGGGUAGCAAACAGGAUUAGAUACCCCAGUAGUC